rnacentral:rRNA from 1 species
GUCCUUGGAGGCAACUUCAACAUGAUCGCUUCCGCUGCCGACAAAAACAACUCACGCCUCAACUUGCGCAUGGGGAGAUUCCAGUCCUUCAUGGCGGACAUGGAGCUGCGAGACCUUUACCUCCACGGUCGUCGCUAUACUUGGUCUAACGAGCGAGAUAACCCCACGCUAGUCCGAAUUGACCGUGUGCUCUGCACCCCCGCAUGGUAUGAAGCUAACCCACACUGUCUACUUUGCUGCCUUUCCUCCGCGGCCUCCAAUCAUUGCCCCAUCAUGGUAGAUUGCACAGCGAUCUCGCCCCGGCCGUGCCGGUUUCGCUUCGAGAGAUUCUGGUCUAAGAUGGAUGGCUUCUAG